AUUGAACGCUGGCGGCAGGCUUAACACAUGCAAGUCGAACGAUGACUCUCUAGCUUGCUAGAGAAGAUUAGUGGCGGACGGGUGAGUAACAUUUAGGAAUCUGCCUAGUAGUGGGGGAUAGCUCGGGGAAACUCGAAUUAAUACCGCAUACGACCUACGGGUGAAAGGGGGCGCAAGCUCUUGCUAUUAGAUGAGCCUAAAUCAGAUUAGCUAGUUGGUGGGGUAAAGGCCCACCAAGGCGACGAUCUGUAACUGGUCUGAGAGGAUGAUCAGUCACACCGGAACUGAGACACGGUCCGGACUCCUACGGGAGGCAGCAGUGGGGAAUAUUGGACAAUGGGGGCAACCCUGAUCCAGCCAUGCCGCGUGUGUGAAGAAGGCCUUUUGGUUGUAAAGCACUUUAAGCAGGGAGGAGAGGCUAAUGGUUAAUACCCAUUAGAUUAGACGUUACCUGCAGAAUAAGCACCGGCUAACUCUGUGCCAGCAGCCGCGGUAAUACAGAGGGUGCGAGCGUUAAUCGGAAUUACUGGGCGUAAAGCGAGUGUAGGUGGCUCAUUAAGUCACAUGUGAAAUCCCCGGGCUUAACCUGGGAACUGCAUGUGAUACUGGUGGUGCUAGAAUAUGUGAGAGGGAAGUAGAAUUCCAGGUGUAGGGGUGAAAUGCGUAGAGAUCUGGAGGAAUACCGAUGGCGAAGGCAGCUUCCUGGCAUAAUAUUGACACUGAGAUUCGAAAGCGUGGGUAGCAAACAGGAUUAGAUACCCUGGUAGUCCACGCCGUAAACGAUGUCUACUAGCCGUUGGGGUCCUUGAGACUUUAGUGGCGCAGUUAACGCGAUAAGUAGACCGCCUGGGGAGUACGGCCGCAAGGUUAAAACUCAAAUGAAUUGACGGGGGCCCGCACAAGCGGUGGAGCAUGUGGUUUAAUUCGAUGCAACGCGAAGAACCUUACCUGGUCUUGACAUAGUGAGAAUCCUGCAGAGAUGCGGGAGUGCCUUCGGGAAUUCACAUACAGGUGCUGCAUGGCUGUCGUCAGCUCGUGUCGUGAGAUGUUGGGUUAAGUCCCGCAACGAGCGCAACCCUUUUCCUUAUUUGCCAGCGGGUUAAGCCGGGAACUUUAAGGAUACUGCCAGUGACAAACUGGAGGAAGGCGGGGACGACGUCAAGUCAUCAUGGCCCUUACGACCAGGGCUACACACGUGCUACAAUGGUAGGUACAGAGGGUUGCUACACAGCGAUGUGAUGCUAAUCUCAAAAAGCCUAUCGUAGUCCGGAUUGGAGUCUGCAACCCGACUCCAUGAAGUCGGAAUCGCUAGUAAUCGCAGAUCAGAAUGCUGCGGUGAAUACGUUCCCGGGCCUUGUACACACCGCCCGUCACACCAUGGGAGUCUAUUGCACCAGAAGUAGGUAGCCUAACGAAAGAGGGCGCUUACCACGGUGUGGUCGAUGACUGGGGUG
rnacentral:rRNA from 1 species